rnacentral:rRNA from 1 species
AAUACGUUCCCGGGUCUUGUACACACCGCCCGUCAAACCAUGAAAGUCGCCAAUACUUGACGUGCUAGCUUGCCUAGCCCUAAGGUAGGGGAGAUGAUUGGGGUU